rnacentral:rRNA from 1 species
GAUGAACGCUGGCGGCGUGCCUAAUACAUGCAAGUCGAGCGAACAGACGAGGAGCUUGCUCCUCUGACGUUAGCGGCGGACGGGUGAGUAACACGUGGAUAACCUACCUAUAAGUCUGGGAUAACUUCGGGAAACCGGAGCUAAUACCGGAUAAUAUAUUGAACCGCAUGGUUCAAUAGUGAAUGACGGUUUUGCUGUCACUUAUAGAUGGAUCCGCGCCGCAUUAGCUAGUUGGUAAGGUAACGGCUUACCAAGGCAACGAUGCGUAGCCGACCUGAGAGGGGGAUAGGCCACACUGGAACUGAGACACGGUCCAGACUCCUACGGGAGGCAGCAGUAGGGAAUAGUCCGCAAUGGGCGAAAGCCUGACGGAGCAACGCCGCGUGAGUGAUGAAGGUCUUCGGAUCGUAAAACUCUGUUAUUAGGGAAGAACAGAUGUGUAAGUAACUAUGCACGUCUUGACGGUACCUAAUCAGAAAGCCACGGCUAACUACGUG